CCUACGGGAGGCAGCAGUAGGGAAUUUUCGUCAAUGGGCGCAAGCCUGAACGAGCAAUGCCGCGUGAACGAGGAAGGUCUUCGGAUCGUAAAGUUCUGUUGAAGGGGAAAAAGAGCGGAGAGAGGAAAUGAACUCCGAUUGAUAUUACCCUUCGAGGAAGUCACGGCUAACUACGUGCCAGCAGCCGCGGUAAUACGUAGGUGGCGAGCGUUAUCCGGAAUGAUUGGGCGUAAAGGGUGCGUAGGCUGUGAGGUAAGUCAGCGGUGAAAUGCCCCCGCUCAACGGGGUGAAGUGCCAUUGAUACUGCCUGGCUGGAAUGCGGAUGCCGGGGGAGGAAUGUGUGGUGUAGCGGUGAAAUGCAUAGAUAUCACACAGAACACCGAUUGCGAAGGCAGCUCACGAAUCCGCGAUUGACGCUGAUGCACGAAAGCGUGGGUAUCAAACAGGAUUAGAUACCCCGGUAGUC
rnacentral:rRNA from 1 species